rnacentral:rRNA from 1 species
UACAGAGGGGGGCAAGCGUUGUUCGGAAUUACUGGGCGUAAAAGGGCGCGUAGGCGGCCGCCUAAGUCAGACGUGAAAUCCCUCGGCUCAACCGGGGAACUGCGUCUGAUACUGGGUGGCUUGAAUUCGGGAGAGGGAUGCGGAAUUCCAGGUGUAGCGGUGAAAUGCGUAGAGUAAUCUGGAGGAACACCGGUGGCGAAGGCGGCGAUCC